rnacentral:tRNA from 1 species
AGAAAAAGAUGGACCAAUAUCACCAAAGAAAAAGAAGCCCAAAGAAAGAAAACAAAAGAGAUUGGCUGUGGGAGAACUAACUGAAAAUGGUUUGACAUUAGAAGAAUGGUUGCCAUCAACAUGGAUUACAGAUACUAUUCCCCGAAGAUGUCCGUUUGUGCCACAGAUGGGUGAUGAGGUUUAUUAUUUCCGACAAGGACAUGAAGCCUAUGUCGAAAUGGCCCGGAAAAAUAAAAUAUAUAGUAUCAAUCCCAAAAAACAACCAUGGCAUAAAAUGGAACUACGGGAACAAGAACUUAUGAAAAUAGUUGGCAUAAAGUAUGAAGUGGGAUUACCUACCCUUUGCUGCCUUAAACUUGCUUUUCUAGAUCCUGAUACUGGUAAACUGACUGGCGGAUCAUUUACCAUGAAAUACCAUGAUAUGCCUGACGUUAUAGAUUUCCUAGUCUUGAGACAACAAUUUGAUGACGCAAAAUAUAGGCGAUGGAAUAUAGGUGACCGCUUCAGGUCUGUCAUAGAUGAUGCCUGGUGGUUUGGAACAAUUGAAAGCCAGGAACCUCUUCAACUUGAGUACCCUGAUAGUCUGUUUCAAUGCUACAAUGUUUGCUGGGACAAUGGAGAUACAGAAAAGAUGAGUCCUUGGGAUAUGGAGCUUAUACCUAAUAAUGCUGUAUUUCCUGAAGAACUAGGUACCAGUGUUCCUUUAACUGAUGGUGAGUGCAGAUCACUAAUCUAUAAACCCCUUGAUGGAGAAUGGGGUACCAAUCCCAGGGAUGAAGAAUGUGAAAGAAUUGUGGCAGGAAUAAACCAGUUGAUGACACUAGAUAUUGCCUCAGCAUUUGUGGCCCCCGUGGAUCUGCAAGCCUAUCCCAUGUAUUGCACAGUAGUGGCAUAUCCAACGGAUCUAAGUACAAUUAAACAAAGACUGGAAAACAGGUUUUACAGGCGGGUGUCUUCCCUAAUGUGGGAAGUUCGAUAUAUAGAGCAUAAUACAAGAACAUUUAAUGAGCCUGGAAGCCCUAUUGUGAAAUCUGCUAAAUUUGUGACUGAUCUUCUUCUACAUUUUAUAAAGUAAGUUAUCUUUUCGUAUGUAAUUAUGAUAAUUUUAAUAAUUAAUGGCACUACAGUUCCUCUUAAAAUAGAAAACAUACUGUUUGUAAAGAAGAAACAUUUAAGAGUAGCCAAAAUAGCUCAGCUGGGAGAGUGUUAGACUGAAGAUCUAAAGGCCUCUGGUUUGAUCCUGGGUUUCGGAAGAAACAGUUCAUUGGCUAAUAAUAAGAAUGAAAUCAUAAAAUCGCAUUACCAUUGUGUUUUAAGGUUAAAAUUGUUUAAAAAAAGAUUAUUUUCUCAAUUUAACAGCUAGACAAUAAUAAUAGUAAAGAUUUAUUUAACAUGUAAAGUUUUACCUACAUUAACUCUUCUAACCCAAAUAACAAUCUUACAGGUGGAAGAGAUCAUUAUCUGGAAUUUUGAAUUGAGGAAACUAUGGCCUAUAGUGGUUAACAUGUAUAAGGUUGCAUGGUAAAUGAGUGUCUGCCAUCUGAUUUGAGAAUUUUUCAUCCUAACAGUAUAUUGCCCCUGUCAAGUAUAUUAACAAGUAUUUGAGUAGUCCAGCAGGAGACUGAAUUUAACUUUCGUGAUGCUUCUUCAAAGUCAAGUUUACUUCCUCAUUGAUCCCAUAACGAGAGUGAUAACCACUAUUUAUUAAGGCAGAAGUACUUUCCCUUCCUUAUCUUAAGGAUUUUAUGCAAUCAUAUAAUGAAUUGAGCCCUAAGUUGAAGGCAGAGAAAUGAAUUCUAUAUUUUGUACAAAGACUGCUGUGAUUCCAUGUUAUUAUUUGUAUUGAAUUUUUUUUUCCUGGUUGAGAAGUAGUAACAGCAUUUUAAAAGCUUACUUAGCUGUUAUCAGCUUUCAUUUUUACAUAAUGAAAAAUUCAGGAUUAUUCAGGUUUUUUUUUUAAAUAAACAUCCCUGCUUCAUUCUCAUUAAUGGACAUAAUCUUUGAGCUCCUUUUCGAUUAAUGUUUUUUAACUGAGGAAUGCAGGUCAUUUCAGUAUAAGAAAACACCAAACAUAAUUAAUAAGGUAAAGUUUGUGCCCUUUCUCUACCUUAUUCUCUAAGAAAUCUAUUGCUUUCCAAUGGUUUGGGGGCUAUUAUUGCUAUGCUUUUGUUUUCCUUAUUGAAAUUAGUAAUUAAGCAUUAUCCUCUGAAGACUCUUAUGUCUGUAAUUUUUUAUAAGUGUUAUAACUGUGUAUGUGUAUCUGUUUUUUCAGAGAAUCAGUAGAACUACAUGAGAUAGUAUAUUCAUAUUUCAGUGAAAUAAUUUAGAUGAAAAUUGUUAAUACAUUUGAAAUAGUCUGUGAAAUGUAUUUCUUUCAAACAGCUACUUUGAAAUGUCUUUGAAAUCAGAUUCAUGAAAUACUUAAAGCAUGUGUAUUGUAUAUUUCUAAAAGUAAAUCUGUGGCUUUUUUUUACAGUGUAUAGUUUGUUUUAAAAUACUUUUUUUAGCAGAUAGUUUUCAAGAUAUUAAGUAUUCCUUGAAAUUUUGAUUAUUAUACUUUUUAAUUGAGUUAUUUGGCGAAAUUUCAAGCAAUUGAUACAUACAAAGUAAUGUAAUGGAUGCUUGGAGGUAGUAUUUUUAUCCUUUUAAUACAGUUUCAUAGGAUACAUAAAUCUGUAAGAAACUAUAAUAUAAGAAAACUGUGACAAGUAAUAAGAGAAUUGUAUAAAAGUUUAGAUAAGAAUAGGAUCACUUUUAGCUGUGAUGAUGGGGAUUCAGACACAGGGGAGAAGUAUGUUAAGAAGACAUUGUAUACAAGGUGUAGAUACUGAUAGAUUCUGGAAAUGUUAGAUGAAAAGAAAGCCAUUCCAGGGAUAAGGAGCAGCGUGAGGUAGGAAGGUUUAAUUAAGGGUAAUAUAAAUUGGAGAAGUCAUAGUAGAGAUACAGUGCUAUAAAUUUGAGUUGGGGCCACAUCGUGGGUGGCUUUGAAUACAAAUCUAAAAUAUAAGCUCUGAGAGCAAGGGGCUGUUGAAAGUAUAUUAACAUGAGAAUAACAUGUUUUACACUAUGCCUUAAAAAUGUUAAUUUGACUGCAGUGUCUAAUUUAAUUGAUAGAGAAGAGACAAAAAGCAUAAAUAGCAGAUUGACUGCUACAGUUGACCAACUAAGAGUUGAUGAGGGCUUAAUUUAUGAAAGUGAGAAAGGGACAGAUGCCCAGACAUACUUGGGGAUAGAGUUCACAGCCCUUGACCACUAAUUGGGUUUAUAAGGAGGAGGAAAGGGAAAGAAUAAUGAAAAACCAAGAUUCCCAUUACUGUAAGAAUGGUAUGUUGUUAAAGAAAAAUAGAAAAAGGAACAAGGAUAUCUGGGAAGUCACUAUUAAGUUUAGACGUGGAAUUUUAGGUGAUGGUAGAAUGCUCAGGAGAAGGGUUAGGACAAAUUGCAGGAAUUUUGGAAUCCAUUUACACAGAUAAACCACAAGUAUGUAAAGUUAUCAAAGCAAAAGGUACAGUGUCAAGAGAAGAUGCCUAAGAACAAAGUUUUAGGAAAUACAUUUAAAAAUAAAAGAAAGAGUUGGAAGACAAGAAAUACAUUAGCUGUUUGAAGACUGAGGAAUGGAAGCAGCACAGCAGAUACCUAAGCAAAGACUGGGAGAUGAGACUUGGGUUUGGUGUAAUGAUAUAGUCAGGCCACACUGAAAGCUCUACAUAGAGUGGAGGGGUCAGGGUUAAAUGUGUGUGCAUAAAUUAUUGGAGUAAGCCAGUGGAGAAGAAAGCAAGCCUUCAGCUUCAACUUUUACCUUAAAAUGUGGUUUUGGGAACAAAUUUUUAAGGAAAAAAAUUAUCAUGGCUCUAACCUUACAUGUUAACAUUUCCUUGUUAUAUAGGGAUCAGACUUGUUAUAACAUAAUUCCACUUUAUAAUUCAAUGAAGAAGAAAGUUUUGUCUGAUUCUGAGGAAGAAGAGAAAGACGCUGAUGUGCCAGGAACUUCUACUCGAAAAAGGAAGGACCAUCAGCCUAGAAGAAGAUUACGUAAUAGAGCCCAGUCUUACGAUAUUCAAGCAUGGAAGAAACAGUGUGAAGAAUUGUUAAAUCUCAUAUUUCAAUGUGAAGAUUCAGAGCCUUUCCGUCAGCCGGUAGAUCUCCUUGAAUAUCCAGACUACAGAGACAUCAUUGACACUCCAAUGGAUUUUGCUACCGUUAGAGAAACUUUAGAGGCUGGGAAUUAUGAGUCACCAAUGGAGUUAUGUAAAGAUGUCAGACUUAUUUUCAGUAAUUCCAAAGCAUAUACACCAAGCAAAAGAUCAAGGAUUUACAGCAUGAGUUUGCGCCUGUCUGCUUUCUUUGAAGAACACAUUAGUUCAGUUUUAUCAGAUUAUAAAUCUGCUCUUCGUUUUCAUAAAAGAAAUACUAUAACCAAAAGGAGGAAGAAAAGAAACAGAAGCAGCUCUGUUUCCAGUAGUGCUGCAUCAAGCCCUGAAAGGAAAAAAAGGAUCUUAAAACCCCAGCUAAAAUCAGAAAGCUCUACCUCUGCAUUUUCUACACCUACACGAUCAAUACCGCCAAGACACAAUGCUGCUCAGAUAAACGGUAAAACAGAAUCUAGUUCUGUGGUUCGAACCAGAAGCAACCGAGUGGUUGUAGAUCCAGUUGUCACUGAGCAACCAUCUACUUCUUCAGCUGCAAAGACUUUUAUUACAAAAGCGAAUGCAUCUGCAAUACCAGGGAAAACAAUACUAGAGAAUUCUGUGAAACAUUCCAAAGCUUUGAAUACUCUUUCCAGUCCUGGUCAAUCCAGUUUUAGUCAUGGCACUAGGAAUAAUUCUGCAAAAGAAAACAUGGAAAAGGAAAAGCCAGUCAAACGUAAAAUGAAGUCAUCUGUACUCCCAAAGGCGUCUACUCUUUCAAAGUCAUCAGCUGUCAUUGAGCAAGGAGAUUGUAAGAACAACGCUCUUGUACCAGGAACCAUUCAAGUAAAUGGCCAUGGAGGACAGCCAUCAAAACUUGUGAAGAGGGGACCUGGAAGGAAACCUAAAGUAGAAGUUAAUACCAAUAGUGGUGAAAUUAUACACAAGAAAAGGGGUAGAAAGCCCAAAAAGCUACAGUAUGCAAAGCCAGAAGAUUUAGAGCAAAAUAAUGUGCAUCCCAUCAGAGAUGAAGUACUUCCUUCUUCAACAUGCAAUUUUCUUUCUGAAACUAAUAAUGUAAAGGAAGAUUUGAUACAGAAAAAGAAUCGUGGAGGUAGAAAACCCAAAAGGAAGAUGAAGACACAAAAACUAGAUUCAGAUCUCCUAGUCCCUGCAAGUGUCAAAGUGUUAAGGAGAAGUAACCGAAAAAAGAUAGAUGAUCCUGUAGAUGAGGAAGAAGAGUUUGAAGAACUCAAAGGCUCUGAACCCCACAUGAGAACUAGAAAUCAAGGUCGAAGGACAGCUUUCUAUAAUGAGGAUGACUCUGAAGAGGAGCAAAGGCAGCUGUUGUUCGAAGACACCUCUUUAACUUUUGGAACUUCUAGUAGAGGACGAGUCCGAAAGUUGACUGAAAAAGCAAAAGCUAAUUUAAUUGGUUGGUAACUUGUACCAAAAUAUUUUAGUUCAAAAUCUAUAAAGCAGGUACAGUUAAGGAAUAAGUAGAACUAAGGCUUCUGCUUCCUUGCUGCUGUGGUGGAGUAGGGAAUGCUAUGAUUUGAUUUGCAAAAAAAAAAAAAAACAAAAAAACAA